AUUGAACGCUGGCGGCAUGCUUUACACAUGCAAGUCGAACGGUAACAGGCCUUCGGGUGCUGACGAGUGGCGAACGGGUGAGUAAUGCAUCGGAACGUGCCCAGAGGUGGGGGAUAACGCAGCGAAAGCUGUGCUAAUACCGCAUGUGAUCUGAGGAUGAAAGCGGGGGACCAGGCAGCAAUGUUUGGCCUCGCGCCUUUGGAGCGGCCGAUGUCAGAUUAGGUAGUUGGUGGGGUAAAGGCCUACCAAGCCGACGAUCUGUAGCUGGUCUGAGAGGACGAGCAGCCACACUGGGACUGAGACACGGCCCAGACUCCUACGGGAGGCAGCAGUGGGGAAUUUUGGACAAUGGGCGCAAGCCUGAUCCAGCAAUGCCGCGUGCGGGAAGAAGGCCUUCGGGUUGUAAACCGCUUUUGUACGGAACGAAAAGGCUCUGGCUAAUACCUGGGGCUGAUGACGGUACCGUAAGAAUAAGCACCGGCUAACUACGUG
rnacentral:rRNA from 1 species